UUGAAAGUUAGGUCCAAGGUUGGACUCGAGUCUUCACUACGGUUAUCGUCGGAUAACCGCUAGGGGGGGACGUUAGAAAAUCCGUCAAGCAAUUUUCACGCCAUUAUCGUGAUAUUAUUGUUUUUAAACGAUUAAUCGAAAUUCCAGGGAUGUAAUUAAUCAAUGUUAAUGAUAUAUUUUGUGGGUGGAAUUUUAAGGGCUUCAAGCUUGUGAUUUUACAUUAGCUUUCCCUUCCAUAUAAAAUUUCAAAAAAGUCGUUUGGUACUACCGUUUAGUACCACCCGAUUUGUUAUUGUUUGUCAGUGGUUCCUCAAAACAUUGAAAUUCAAAAUUGUGUGGUUUUUUUGUUUGCUAAUCUGGGACAUUGGUUCAACAUAAAAGAACUGAGAUGGAGGAAGACGAGGAAUCGCGAUCUCGUAAAUUAGUGAAAGAAUUUUUAGCAAGUUUAAAGAAAAGCGAAAAUUCCCGGAAGAAUAAGGAAAGACGAGAAUCUAAACGAAAGGAAGCUGGAUAUCCAAGCAAACGACCAAAAUGCUUUGUAAAAUUGGAUGGCUGAUCAAUCUGAUGGCGCGCGAUCAUAGAUGGGAGGAUCCCACGUAAUGCGGCUUAUCGUGUGGGACGAACUGAACCAGUGCUGAGGUAUACAGCUUGUGAACGAAAAUGUAAUCCAUUUUUGGAGCGUGAAUCACUAUAACGGUAUUAUAAUUGAAAAAUCUACACUAGUAAAAAUAU